GCCCAAGUAGUAUAGCCCGGCCUAGUAUGUCCGCCUGUCACGCGGACGACGCGAGAUGGGCUCGCCCACGCGAAUUCAAAUCUCGCCUUGGGCGCCA
rnacentral:tRNA from 1 species